rnacentral:hammerhead_ribozyme from 1 species
AUCCAGGAUGCGUCCCAAAUAGGACGAAAUGCGCAUCCUGGAU